AGAUUGAACGCUGGCGGCAUGCUUUACACAUGCAAGUCGAACGGUAACAGGCCGCAAGGUGCUGACGAGUGGCGAACGGGUGAGUAAUGCAUCGGAACGUGCCCAGUCGUGGGGGAUAACGCAGCGAAAGCUGUGCUAAUACCGCAUACGAUCUAUGGAUGAAAGCGGGGGACCAAAGGCCUCGCGCGAUUGGGAGCGGCCGAUGUCAGUAUUAGCUUAGGUUGGGUCGGGGUAGAACGGCCCACCGAAGGCGACGAUCUAGUAGCUGGUCUGGAGAGGACGACCAGCCACUACGUGGAACUGGACGACCGACGGUCCAGACCUCCGAGGGAGCAGUCGAGGUGGGUAUUUGGACAGUGGGCGACGAACGCC
rnacentral:rRNA from 1 species